rnacentral:rRNA from 1 species
GACGAACGCUUGCGGCGUGCUUAACACAUGCAAGUCGAACGGAAAGGCCCUGCUUUUGUGGGGUGCUCGAGUGGCGAACGGGUGAGUAACACGUGAGUAACCUGCCCUUGACUUUGGGAUAACUUCAGGAAACUGGGGCUAAUACCGGAUAGGAGCUCCUGCUGCAUGGUGGGGGUUGAAAAGUUUCGGCGGUUGGGGAUGGACUCGCGGCUUAUCAGCUUGUUGGUGGGGUAGUGGCUUACCAAGGCUUUGACGGGUAGCCGGCCUGAGAGGGUGACCGGCCACAUUGGGACUGAGAUACGGCCCAGACUCCUACGGGAGGCAGCAGUGGGGAAUAUUGCACAAUGGGCGGAAGCCUGAUGCAGCAACGCCGCGUGCGGGAUGACGGCCUUCGGGUUGUAAACCGCCUUCGCCUGUGACGAAGCGUGAGUGACGGUAAUGGGUAAAGAAGCACCGGCUAACUACGUGCCAGCAGCCGCGGUGAUACGUAGGGUGCGAGCGUUGUCCGGAUUUAUUGGGCGUAAAGGGCUCGUAGGUGGUUGAUCGCGUCGGAAGUGUAAUCUUGGGGCUUAACCCUGAGCGUGCUUUCGAUACGGGUUGACUUGAGGAAGGUAGGGGAGAAUGGAAUUCCUGGUGGAGCGGUGGAAUGCGCAGAUAUCAGGAGGAACACCAGUGGCGAAGGCGGUUCUCUGGGCCUUUCCUGACGCUGAGGAGCGAAAGCGUGGGGAGCGAACAGGCUUAGAUACCCUGGUAGUCCACGCUGUAAACGGUGGGUACUAGGUGUGGGGUCCAUUCCACGGGUUCCGUGCCGUAGCUAACGCUUUAAGUACCCCGCCUGGGGAGUACGGCCGCAAGGCUAAAACUCAAAGGAAUUGACGGGGCCCCGCACAAGCGGCGGAGCAUGCGGAUUAAUUCGAUGCAACGCGUAGAACCUUACCUGGGUUUGACAUGGAUCGGGAGUGCUCAGAGAUGGGUGUGCCUCUUUUGGGGUCGGUUCACAGGUGGUGCAUGGCUGUCGUCAGCUCGUGUCGUGAGAUGUUGGGUUAAGUCCCGCAACGAGCGCAACCCUUGUUCACUGUUGCCAGCACGUUAUGGUGGGGACUCAGUGGAGACCGCCGGGGUCAACUCGGAGGAAGGUGGGGAUGACGUCAAGUCAUCAUGCCCCUUAUGUCCAGGGCUUCACGCAUGCUACAAUGGCUGGUACAGAGAGUGGCGAGCCUGUGAGGGUGAGCGAAUCUCGGAAAGCCGGUCUCAGUUCGGAUUGGGGUCUGCAACUCGACCUCAUGAAGUCGGAGUCGCUAGUAAUCGCAGAUCAGCAACGCUGCGGUGAAUACGUUCCCGGG